AGUUACACACCAUCCGCCGCGAAAGACGGUCGCAAAAAUUGCACGGGGAACCCUUUUCUGUCUUUCUGUGAUUUUUGCUCACAUUUAUAGCUUCUUCAUGCUGCCAGAGCAAAAAAUUCUUGAAUGAAGCUGUGGAUAUAUUUUUUGCGUGGAUUUUAUCAACAGCAAAGGACAAGUCAAUUUAAAAUAGGUACUUAAAGAGCGAAAAAGAUCAUAAAGAACAAGCUGAGACUGAAGGUGAAGUGACCGCCAGAAGGUUGACGAGUAAAUCGAAAGAUCAUCCGCCAAGAUGCAAGAACGGACUGUGCGUAUACCAGAAUGGUAUGCUGGCCGUACGAUUUUCAUAACAGGAGCCACGGGGUUCAUGGGGAAGGUGUUGGUGGAAAAAUUGCUACACGACUGUCCAGACAUUGAGCGUCUCUAUCUUCUAGUCCGUGCCAAAAGGGGUGUUGAACCUGAACAGAGGCGUGAAGAAUAUGUUAAUCACAUGGCAUUUGAGCGAGUUCGCCAAAUUCAGCCGAAACGCUUAGAGAAGAUUCACAUGGUUAAAGGUGAUGUGACUCUCGAUGAUCUGGGUCUAUCGGAAGAGGAUCGCAAUGAAGUCACAACGAAGGUUUCAGUGAUUUUUCAUUGUGCUGCCAACGUUCGUUUCGAUCAGCCACUCAAAGAGGCAGUGAACAUGAACACACAGGGCACCUACAGAGUCCUCAAAUUGGCUGAGACUGUUAAUAACCUCGAUGCUUUUGUUCAUGUCUCCACCGCGUAUUGCCAGUGUGAUGAGCCGGUGCUGGAAGAGCGCGGCUACCCAGCCCCCCACAAUCCUCUCGGAAUAGUGCAGAUGACUAAUCUGCUAGAUAAUGAUAUUCUUGAGCAUCUCACGCCAAAGUUGCUCAAAACCCUUCCCAACACGUACGCUUACACAAAGGCCCUCACUGAAGAUCUCGUGGCAUCAUUCAAAGGCAAAUUCCCAAUCGCCAUUGCACGCCCCUCGAUCGUCACUGCUGCCACUAAAGAACCCUACCCAGGAUGGGUGGAGGGAACAAAUGGACCAACUGGACUGAUGGUCGGUGCUGGUCGUGGAGUCAUUCGGAGUAUGCACUGCAAUCCCAAUUACCCAGCCGAUGCCAUUCCCGUCGACAUCACCAUGAAUACGAUUAUUGCCCUAGCUUGGCAACGUGGGCAGAACAAAUCUUUGGACAUUCAGUACACAAAUGUUGUGGCAUCAAAUGAUAAUUCCCUAUCAUGGGGCGAGAGUAUAGAACGUGGAAAGGCUGAAUUCUACAGGAAUCCACUCUGUUUCUCCCUGUGGUACCCAAAGGGCUCCAUCAAAUCCAACUAUUUCCACCAUUUAUUUUGUGUGAUAUUCUUCCAUUAUCUGCCAGCUUACUUUAUUGACUUUCUUCUAGUGAUCUUCAGGAAAAAGCCAUUCAUGGUGCGUGUUCAGAAUAAAGUUACAAUGGGAUUGAAAGUUUUGCAGUACUACACAACGAAGAAAUGGGACUUUAAGAACACAAAUAUGACAAAACUCUAUAGCUCAAUGGAUGAUCGUGAUAAGGAGAUUUUCAAUUUUGAUUGCAUGACAAUAGACUGGCAUGAAUACAUAAGAAAUUACAUUUACGGUGUACGCACGUACCUCCUAAAUGAACCUCCGUCUACUCUUCCUCAGGCUCGAAAACUGCUCAAGAGAUUGUACUAUCUAGAUAAACUCGUUACAUUUAUCUUCUAUGGUUUUCUACUCUGGCUAAUUUGGACCAAUUUGGAUGUUAUUGGAAGUUCUGUUCACUUUGUCUUUGAACAGUCUAAAAAUUUACUCACCAAGUCCUCAUCUUAGCGCUAAGUCAAUUAUCUUUGGUUCUGAUUAAAUUUUAUCGUCAGGUAGAUGUAUGGUUUUAACGUUUAAGAAGUCAUUAAAGGAAAUGUGGUUUUCCUUAAAAAGAUUAUACUCAAUAGAUUUAAAUAAAUAAACUUUUAUGUGUUUUUUGGUAGAUAAGAAAAAAAUAAAAAAAAAUAAAAUAAAAAAUUACUCUGCGUUGAUACCACUGCUU